UGGGGGAUAUUGCACAAUGGGGGGAACCCUGAUGCAGCGACGCCGCGUGGGUGAGAAGCGCCUCGGCGCGUAAAGCCCUGUCAGCAGGGAAGAAAAUGACGGUACCUGAAGAAGAAGCCCCGGCUAACUACGUGCC
rnacentral:rRNA from 1 species